rnacentral:rRNA from 1 species
AUACGGAGGAUCCGAGCGUUAUCCGGAUUUAUUGGGUUUAAAGGGUGCGCAGGCGGCCAUUUAAGUCAGCGGUUAAAUCGUGGGACUCAACCCCAUUCUGCCGUUGAUACUGGGUGGCUUGAUUGCGGUCGAGGUUGGCGGAAUUCGUUGUGUAGCGGUGACAUGCAUAGAUAUGACGAAGAACACCGAUUGCGUAGGCAGCUGACCAGACCGCAAAUGACGCUCAUGCACGAAAGUGCGGGGAUCGAACAGGAUUAGAUACCCUGGUAGUCCGCACAGUAAACGAUGAAUACUUGUUUUCGGCGAUAUAAUGUCGGAGGCAAAGCGAAAGCGAUAAGUAUUCCACCUGGGGAGUACGCCGGCAACGGUGAAACUUAAAGGAAUUGACGGGG